AGUUUGAUCAUGGCUCAGAACGAACGCUGCGGCAUGCCUAACACAUGCAAGUCGAACGAGACCUUCGGGUCUAGUGGCGCACGGGUGCGUAACGCGUGGGAACUGCUUAGGUUCGGAAUAACUCAGAGAAAUUUGAGCUAAUACCGGAUAAUGUCUUCGGACCAAGAUUUAUCGCCUUUAGAUGGGCCCGCGUAAGAUUAGCUAGUUGGUGGGGUAAAGGCCUACCAAGGCGACGAUCUUUAGCUGGUCUGAGAGGAUGAUCAGCCACACUGGGACUGAGACACGGCCCAGACUCCUACGGGAGGCAGCAGUGGGAAUAUUGGACAAUGGGCGAAAGCCUGAUCCAGCAAUGCCGCGUGAGUGAUGAAGGCCUUAGGGUUGUAAAGCUCUUUUACCCGAGAUGAUAAUGACAGUAUCGGGAGAAUAAGCUCCGGCUAACUCCGUG
rnacentral:rRNA from 1 species